rnacentral:RNase_P_RNA from 1 species
UGCAGGUGGGAAGCUUUGCGACACUCUGUGCCCCCUGGGAAGGUCUGAGACUAGGGCCAUCUAGCUGCCCUAACAGGGCCCUCCCCCGGCCCGAGCAGGUGAGUUCCCAAAGAACAAGGCAGAUUGGGCAGGAGAUGCUGCAGAUGACAAGCUGGGUCCCAGCGGAUGCCUCCUUAGCCAGAGCUUGGAACAGACUCACGGCUAAUGAAGUGAGUUCAGUGGCUGAGGUGGGGUAUCCUCCAGUAGGAGACUUCAGACUACUCUCCCCUGUA